AAAAUUAAAAUACAUUUUAUAGCAUUGAUCCUUCCCUCUUAAGUUCAAAUUUCCAAAAUCUUCUCUGCUACCCUCAAAAUUUCCCAAAUCUUCCUCCUACGCUCAAAAUUUUUCCAUUAUUCCUUGAAUUUUCAAAACUUCAUAAUACGUUUCAUAUUCCAUUUUUCCCCGUGUUUCCAGGCUUCCUUUUCUGCGUCGAACCAUGGCGUGCGUGGAUCCUCCAAGGAAUAAGAAAGGAAGAUACAGCGUCGUAGAGUUGAAAACCCUAGGGAACCAACUUCUCUCCUCCGCCUCGCACAUCAACAACCUCCUUCUUCUCCUCAAAUUCCUUCCCCUUUUUCUCCUCCUCACCACGUCCUCGAAUCCCUACUCUCUCCGCUCUUUCUUCCUCCCUCUUCUACCAAAGAUCCCUUUCUCCUCCGCCGUCGCUACCUCCGCGGCUGCUCCCUCCACUGCUGACAAGUCUGAGUUCAUCUACCUCACCUGGCUCCGCUCCAAAUUCGAUGAGUUCCUCAAGUCACUCCUUGACAUUCUUGCCUCCACAAUCUGACGAGACACUCAAGGAACUCGUGUUGGAUACACUCAUGGAGUUCGUGACGGUGGCCAAUGGCAGCGCCUUCCACUCUGCUUUGUGCCGCAAACUUCUCCUUUGUGUUGUGCGUUAUGACAAUUUUGUUGAUAAGUGUUGUUAUUGUUGUUUCGAUCCGACUUUGCUACUUUUGGAUUGGUGCUAUCAGGUUCGUUCCACUAGUCUGGCUACGUUUGUUGUGGAUCUUCUGGAUUCAACGUAUUUCAAAUAUAUUGAUGUCCGAAGCUUGCUCGAAGACUUCUCUUUGACAAGAGUGCCAAUGAUGAUCACGAGAGAAGUAUUUUGACAAAAUUGAAGCAACAAUGUGGUUGACAGUUUACCUUAAAGAUGGAAGGGAUGGUCAGCCUUUUUCUAUUGUUUGUAAACAUAAGCUGAAAUACUAUGAUGAACUUUUUUGGAUGGUUGACAAGAAAAUUUAAAUGCUUUCCCUCUCUUACCAGGUUACAUAUUUGACAUUGGCAAAGGAGAAUAAAAAAAGUUACAAAGUUUUUUAUUUCAAUCUUCCUGCAGAAAUGUUAAGUUGUUCGAUUUGGCUGCAAGUGUGGUGAGAAGAAAACAAAAAGAAGGAGAAGGGGAAUAAAUAAUUCUGUUCUUGACAUUGACUGUAUAGAAAAGGUGGAGCAAGUGGUGAGAAUCAAACAAAAGCAGGAAGAAGACAAAGCAGCAGUCAAGCUUCAUUCAUUUAAGUUGGUAUUGCUAAUAGUUAGUGAUUAUUCUAUUUUGUAUAUAAGGUCCGAUUUCAUGUAUCUUGUCUUUGUCUAGUCCUGCUUUCAAGAUCAAUGAAGCUGCACAUAAAUCAACUAAAACGGAAAGGAUGAGGAUCCUUAGGUCUACGAGUUCCACUAGAAAGAAAUGUGAAGCAGCACAGCAAGCUCGUGAUGCAAAUGAGUCAAAGUCUCCUUUGGGUACAAGACAAUCAUAUGAUGGAAGUAACAUUUAGGAAGUUUAUGAUAUUGGUUUAGGAUAAAACUAGACCUAGUUUAUUAUGAAUUGAGUAACAUUUCUUUAUUUGUAACUACUUCUGUAAUGAGAUUACAUUGACUUCUAGUC